rnacentral:rRNA from 1 species
AGCAGCCGCGGUAAUUCCAGCUCCAAUAGCGUAUAUUAAAGUUGUUGCAGUUAAAAAGCUCGUAGUUGAAUUUCGGGAUCAGUUGAUCGGUCGUGCCUCGGUACGUACUGGUCAAAUUGAUUCCUACCUUCUGACGAACCACGAUGUCAUUAAUUUGGUGUCGCGGGAAAUCAGGACUGUUACUUUGAAAAAAUUAGAGUGUUUAAAGCAGGCUCGCGCUUGAAUACAUUAGCAUGGAAUAAUGAAAUAGGACGUUUGAUUCUAUUUUGUUGGUUUCUAGGAUCGACGUAAUGAUUAAUAGGGAUAGUUGGGGGCAUUAGUAUUCAAUUGUCAGAGGUGAAAUUCUUGGAUUUAUUGAAGACUAACUACUGCGAAAGCAUUUGCCAAGGAUGUUUUCAUUAAUCAAGAACGAAAGUUAGGGGAUCGAAGACGAUCAGAUACCGUCGUAGUCUUAACCAUAAACUAUGCCGACUAGGGAUCGGAUGAUGUUAAUUUUUAAUUGACUCAUUC